GCACGAAGUUAGCCGUGGCUGCUUCUGGAGGUACCGUCCGAAUGGGUUACCCCAUCCCAUCUUCCCUCCCGAAAGGGGUUUACAACCCGAAGGCCUUCUUCACUCACGCGGCAUGGCUGGAUCAGGGUUGCCCCCAUUGUCCAAAAUUCCCCACUGCUGCCUCCCGUAGGAGUCUGGGCCGUGUCUCAGUCCCAGUGUGGCUGAUCAUCCUCUCAGACCAGCUACCGAUCGUCGCCUUGGUGGGCCUUUACCCCACCAACUAGCUAAUCGGACAUCGGCCGCUCCAAUCGCACAAGGCCCUUUCGAGUCCCCUGCUUUGCUGUUGCCAGAUCAUGCGGUAUUAGCCCACCUUUCGAUGGGUUAUCCCCCACAACUGGACACGUUCCGAUGUGUUACUCACCCGUUCGCCACUCGCCACCAGGGUUGCCCCCGUGCUGCCGUUCGACUUGCAUGUGUAAAGCAUGCCGCCAGCGUUCAAU
rnacentral:rRNA from 1 species